UACGUAGGGUGCGAGCGUUAAUCGGAAUUACUGGGCGUAAAGCGUGCGCAGGCGGCUUCGCAAGUCAGACGUGAAAUCCCCGGGCUUAACCUGGGAAUGGCGUUUGAAACUACGGAGCUGGAGUGUGGCAGAGGGAGGUAGAAUUCCACGUGUAGCGGUGAAAUGCGUAGAUAUGUGGAGGAAUACCGAUGGCGAAGGCAAUCCCCUGGACCUGUACUGACGCUCAUGCACGAAAGCGUGGGGAGCAAACAGG
rnacentral:rRNA from 1 species